UGUAGACUGUGGAUUCGUCAUCCGAUUUUCAAUCGAUGCUUAUAAGGUUCCGGAAUAUGAAGACAAAAGCUGGAAGCGUGCAGUGGUAGAGAUAGUCCUAUGAAGGACAAUAAAGAACUGUAAUAGAAAGAAAGGAAAGCCCUAUGGAGUUGAGACACUUAUUGUAGAAGACUGUUAAUGAUAGAAAUAACGAUGUAAAUAUAAAGGUAAGUUCCGCAAUUGUAUUCCAGUUGGGUUGUAAAUAAAUAAUACAAGUCCAUAUUAAAUAUAUGAACCGUAUUUUGGAUGCAUAUGUAUAAUAAGUUAAUGGGCCUGAAUUCAUAAUUAUGAAUAGAAUGUGAAAUUUAAAUAA